rnacentral:misc_RNA from 1 species
AGUUUACAUUAAUAUAAACGAGAAAUUACACCAGGGAACUGCAAACAUAUACAUUUGAAACAAAAGAGGAAUGUUGAAAUAUCUCUCAUUUCUUUCUUCCCGCACAGCCUGAAAAAUGCAGGCAGAAUAUGCUCCAUGUAAACAUCUAACAUACGAUGAUUUAAUCAUUCAGGGAGCUGAUGCCAAUGUCUUGAGGUUAUUAAUCACUCGGCAAUAACUAAAUAUUCACAGAAAUGUAAUUCAACAGAGUGCAAUAGAGUUCACACUUGAGCGAGUCAGCUUU